rnacentral:rRNA from 1 species
UACGUAGGGACCGAGCGUUGUCCGGAAUCAUUGGGCGUAAAGAGCGUGUAGGCGGCCACUUAAGUCCUGCGUGAAAUCCUGCGGCUCAACCGCAGGCGGUCGUGGGAAACUGGGUGGCUAGAGUGCGGGAGAGGAGAGUGGAAUUCCUGGUGUAGCGGUGGAAUGCGCAGAUAUCAGGAGGAACACCAAUAGCGAAGGCAGCUCGCUGGGACGUUACUGACACUGAGGCGCGAAAGCGUGGGGAGCGAACAGG